rnacentral:lncRNA from 1 species
UAACACUGCAUAAGGUAUUUUAGGUAGACAGAUUGACAUUAGUAAACUAGAAGUUGAAAAUGACAUUAGUAAACUAGAAGUUGAAAAUGAUUUCAUAUGUAAUCAUUAGCUUUGCUGAGCACAUUAAAGAAAAGAAAAAGAAAAGCAUUUCUUGAUGUGAAAUGGACUCAGGCUUGACCUGUGACUUCUGAUUGGAAAUGAGCAAUGAACAGGAGCCUCCAUGCCAUGCUGAUGGGGAACUGCACUAGAGGAGGUGACCCACUGCCCCACAGCUCCAAUGAGGACAUCAUUGCCAGAAAAUUCUGAACACACAGUCCAUUUUCCACCAUAUAAACAGAUGGUAUUCAGAAGACAUCAAAUCCAAACAAUUCAAUGUGAGCAGUAGGACAGUCC